AUACUUUUGCAAGCCACUGUAUAUAUUAAAUGGAUUUUUGGAACAGGGAGAUGGAAGAAGAGCUUGCUCUGUCCACUCCAUGCAUCGACCUGGUAUUGCAGUACCUCCAGGACCGAUGCACCUCUU
rnacentral:snRNA from 1 species